rnacentral:snRNA from 1 species
AAAAUCUCAUUUACUUGAA